UUGAAUCUAACGGCGAAUGAACCGAUCAUCUGUCUGUCCAUAUAGUUGGAAAAUGGAGACGUUCUCUGCCCCAAAACCCCCUUUAUUGAGGAAUUUACUAGUUGAAGAAUUGUUGUUGAGCAAAUGAAAUCAACCUGUCAGUGAUAUUAAAUUUUAUCACAUAUUCAUGUGUAUAGAUCUACUCCGAGUGGAAAUACUCUGAAUUGUUGUAUUUAGCUGAAUUGGGGUGACAAUACUGAGAUAAAAUGGCAAGAACUUCAAGCGAAAUAUUGGUGAAAAGUUUUCGUUAUGUCCAUAGAAAAGUUGUCCGGAAAAAACAGUGGCUAAUGCAAUAAUCGGAAACUGCGCAGGUCCUCCCGCGAUGCUGGCGUUUUUUUGCAAAUUCUACGAUUCCAUAUCCUAUCGGUUAUUCAUUAAGCAGAAAAAUUUCCCAAAUUUUCAACAUUACCACCAAAGAACUAUCCCAAUCCAAAGUUUUCAAGGACUACGGGAAUUACGGACAGUUUACUAUCAUCCGAAUGGAGACUAUUCUUUGUUCUGAGGGAUUUGUUACGUUGACCCUUGUUUAGACGGCAUAAAUACAUGACCAGGGCCAGCGUUUUCACCCCAGGUACUCCAGCGCCAUGUACCAGCAAGUGCGACGUAACAAUAACACCGAACUUUCAUUUGUAUAUUCAGUGCCAGGUAGUUAGCACCACAUAAUUGAAAAUUCAUUAGUUUUUUUAUUCAGGUCAAUAGUAGGACCUUUGUACAUCAUUGUAA